AUUGAACGCUGGCGGCAGGCCUAACACAUGCAAGUCGAGCGGAGCGGCGGACGGGUGCGUAAUGCCUAGGAAUCUGCCUGGCCGUGGGGGAUAACGUCCGGAAACGGGCGCUAAUACCGCAUACUAGCAGAUGAGCCUAGGUUGGAUUAGGUAGUUGGUGGGGUAAAGGCCUACCAAGGCGAAGAUCCGUAGCUGGUCUGAGAGGAUGAUCAGUCACACUGGAACUGAGACACGGCCCAGACUACGACGGGAGGCAGCAUUGGGGAAUAUUGGACAAUGGGCGCAAGCCUGAUCCAGCCAUGCCGCGUGUAUGAAGAAGGUCUUCGGAUUGUAAAGGUCUUUAAGUUGGGAGGCGUUACCAACAGAAUAAGCACCGGCUAACUCCGUGCCAGCAGCCGCGGUAAUUC
rnacentral:rRNA from 1 species